CAGCGGAGAAGGGUGUAAACAGAGAAAGACACAGCUGGAAAAAAAAUCUGGUGAUUUUGAUAAUGAUGCUUGAGGAAAUAUGCUAAUAUACUGAUUGGAUAGUGGUACUUCUGCCGAUGACUAAUUGUCGACGUGGAAUGAAAAAAAAACUAAUGAUGAUUGUGAUGAUGACGUGCCUCUUCUGAUGGAGAACUGAUAGACAUAAGUGCUCAUGGGGACGAUGAUAACGAUAAUGAGGAUAACGAUGAUGAUGUAAUAAUGGCGAUAUAGAUGAUACAGGGAUAACAGAGAUGAUGAUGAAAUGGUAGACCUGUGCUUAAACAUUAGGUAAGUUUCAAUGCAUUGGGGCUUGUAAAAUAAUGAGAAAUUAACCUAUAGUAAUACAUGGAUGGUUAGCUUACUUGCUGUGACUGCUAUUUAGCUGAAACUCAUGUUUACAUUAGCGGAUCCAGGAUAUUUUGGCCGGUGUGGAAGCAGGAGUGGCGAAUGAAGACCAUUUUCAUCACAACUCGGUAAUCCCUGCAAUAUUAGUUUUAAACUUUUAGCAUCUUGUAUUUUUUAAAUUUAAGCAAUUUCUCUUUGUGCAACAUGUGUUUUUUAAUUAUAUUUUCUAUAUUUUUCUAGUAAUAUGGGUGUAUUUAAGGAACCAUAUCUCAUAGCUGUGUUUUAUCGUAUCGUAUCGUAUUGAAACCUAUUGUCAGAGGAGAAUGUUCCCUUACCAAUUCUGUGGGUCCAGGGCCAUAUUAAUCUAAAUUUCAAUUUAGAAACUUGAUACGAUCUUUAGAUGUCCAGGGAGUGUUGCAGGCG